GUUUUAGUAGCUUAGCCUCAAAGCACUGGUCUUGUAAGCCAGAGACGGGGGAUCCCCUCCCCCUAAAACA
rnacentral:tRNA from 1 species